GCCAGCCUACAUUAUUCAGAAUGACUUCCCGCCACAAGCUCCACCUUGUGUCUGCAAUUUUUGGUUUGAACGCGCUCUUCUCAGCUAAAAAAAGGUUUUUGUUGGCAAGACUGAGACCAUAAAGGACAUGGGUCGCUGUCUGGGCAAAUACGUUGUGGUUUUCAAUUGUUCUGACCAGAUGGAUUUCAGAGGCCUGGGAAGAAUAUUCAAAGGUCUGGCACAGUCUGGCUCCUGGGGAUGUUUUGAUGAAUUUAACCGCAUUGACCUCCCAGUCCUGUCGGUGGCAGCCCAGCAGAUUUCAAUAGUUCUUACAUGCAAAAAGGAUCGUAGCAAAAAGUUUACCUUCACCGAUGGAGAGAGUAUCGACAUGAAUCCUGAAUUUGGCAUUUUCCCGACCAUGGUUAUUGUAAGUUAUCAUAUCUGAUUUAAUAAUGCAGUGACGUAUUUAAACGGAGCUAAACAUGACCUUCCUGCAAAGAA